AACUCGCCUGUAUGAAGUCGGAAUUGCUAGUAAUCGUGGAUCAGCAUGCCACGGUGAAUACGUUCCCGGGCCUUGUACACACCGCCCGUCACACCAUGAGAGCCGGGAACACCCGAAGUCCGUAGUCUAACCUAUAUGGAGGACGCGGCCGAAGGUGGGUUUGGUAAUUGGGGUGAAGUCGUAACAAGGUAGC
rnacentral:rRNA from 1 species